GUAAUACAUAAAAUAUUUAAGUUGGAUGAAAAUAUUAGCGGUAGCCAAGAAUUUCUCAAAGGGAAAAGUAGCAAGUAUGAAAGAGUCAGUAUGGCGGUUUGUCAUCACUCAUAUUUUCAGUUUUCAAAAAAUGCGCUAAAUCCAUCUAAAAAUCUGGGAGUUUCUCGAGAAGAUUAGCAGAUGCAGCAGCAGAAGCAUCCGACAUAAAGAGGGUGGUGGCAUAAGGCAAGAGAAUGGCCAAAUUCUACACUAACCAUAACUUAUUGUCAAUGUUCUUCUCAUUCUUGUCAGAGCACUUAGCACUUAUUGACGCUCUGACCGGGCUGCCUGCAUAACAAACAUAUCUGCAAACACAUCCACAACUGUAAGUUCCCAAAAUGUCAUAAAAGGUCAAUAAUCCCAUAUUAAAGAAAGAGUAGAUCAGGAGGAAGAGGCAAGUUGAGAAGGAAUAAAGGAGGAAGGUGGGUUACUACAGAUGUGAUUAUGGUCAAGAUGUAGGGAUGACAAAAAUACCCGAGCCUGACGGGUAUUGGGCCGGGUAUGAGAUUAGUUUUUAAAAUUUUCACGGGUAUGGGAUUAGGUGAUACCCGACCCGAUUACCCGUAACCACAUACCCGUUUACCCGAACUAUAUACCCGAUCACAUACCCGGUUUCUUUUAAUAUAUAUUUCUAUUUUUCAUUAA